UUAGGUGAGAACUACAUUUGGCUAUUUGCACUAAAGGUUAUAGUUUCUCAUUGAUUUUUCUUACUAUCCUGCUAGGUGUUUGUUUAUUCAGCAGUAUUUUGAACCAUAUUUAUUACAAUGCAGUUAAUAAGAGAAAGAUAGCAGAAAGGAUGAGUGCCCUAUUGGAAUUGUUCCCCAAUAUGAAUGACAGAAUGAGGAAUGCUUCAUGAUGUAUGAGAUUUAGGGUGCCUUAAUAGGGAGCUUUGCUUUAUUAAGCAUCAAGAAGAAAAUAAGAAGAGCGGUAGCAGUUGGUCUUGACAAAGGUGUCUAGGGGUUGUGACAGUUCAGUAUGAAAGUAAAUGAGAUACUUUUGGAGUUCCGUUGUACGCGAAGAGCAAGGCAAAACAUCUGGGAAAGGCGACUAUGAAUCUGCCCAGGUUUGUGGAGGCAUACAUGGUACUAUUCAUUCCAUUGUUCAUGACGAUGAGCUUCAGGCUGUUAUUUUGCCCCCUUCAGUUUGUGAUUGUGUACCCUCUUACAAUGAUGCCCUUUGAUAGCUAUGCUUCAAUGUAUUUAAUUUGUCGGUGGAUUUAUCUAGAAUUAUUUAUUAGCCAUCCUUGGUUUGUUUAAAUCCUUUCUUAAUUUAUGAUUUUGUCUCUUAAAAUG